rnacentral:misc_RNA from 1 species
GUUUAGCCCAGAUUGAAUGGCGUGUUUGAGCUCUUUUUGUUUUUACAAAAAAGCGAGUAAUGAAAGUUGGAAAUAGC